rnacentral:rRNA from 1 species
GAUGAACGCUGGCGGCGUGCCUAAUACAUGCAAGUCGAGCGAACGGACGAGAAGCUUGCUUCUCUGAUGUUAGCGGCGGACGGGUGAGUAACACGUGGAUAACCUACCUAUGAGACUGGGAUAACUUCGGGAAACCGGAGCUAAUACCGGAUAAUAUUUUGAACCGCAUGGUUCAAAAGUGAAAGACGGUCUUACUGUCACUUAUAGAUGGAUCCGCGCUGCAUUAGCUAGUUGGUAAGGUAACGGCUUACCAAGGCAACGAUGCAUAGCCGACCUGAGAGGGUGAUCGGCCACACUGGAACUGAGACACGGUCCAGACUCCUACGGGAGGCAGCAGUAGGGAAUCUUCCGCAAUGGGCGAAAGCCUGACGGAGCAACGCCGCGUGAGUGAUGAAGGUCUUCGGAUCGUAAAACUCUGUUAUUAGGGAAGAACAUAUGUGUAAGUAACUGUGCACAUCUUGACGGUACCUAAUCAGAAAGCCACGGCUAACUACGUGCCAGCAGCCGCGGUAAUACGUAGGUGGCAAGCGUUAUCCGGAAUUAUUGGGCGUAAAGCGCGCGUAGGCGGUUUUUUAAGUCUGAUGUGAAAGCCCACGGCUCAACCGUGGAGGGUCAUUGGAAACUGGAAAACUUGAGUGCAGAAGAGGAAAGUGGAAUUCCAUGUGUAGCGGUGAAAUGCGCAGAGAUAUGGAGGAACACCAGUGGCGAAGGCGACUUUCUGGUCUGUAACUGACGCUGAUGUGCGAAAGCGUGGGGAUCAAACAGGAUUAGAUACCCUGGUAGUCCACGCCGUAAACGAUGAGUGCUAAGUGUUAGGGGGUUUCCGCCCCUUAGUGCUGCAGCUAACGCAUUAAGCACUCCGCCUGGGGAGUACGACCGCAAGGUUGAAACUCAAAGGAAUUGACGGGGACCCGCACAAGCGGUGGAGCAUGUGGUUUAAUUCGAAGCAACGCGAAGAACCUUACCAAAUCUUGACAUCCUUUGACAACUCUAGAGAUAGAGCUUUCCCCUUCGGGGGACAGAGUGACAGGUGGUGCAUGGUUGUCGUCAGCUCGUGUCGUGAGAUGUUGGGUUAAGUCCCGCAACGAGCGCAACCCUUAAGCUUAGUUGCCAUCAUUAAGUUGGGCACUCUAAGUUGACUGCCGGUGACAAACCGGAGGAAGGUGGGGAUGACGUCAAAUCAUCAUGCCCCUUAUGAUUUGGGCUACACACGUGCUACAAUGGACAAUACAAAGGGCAGCGAAACCGCGAGGUCAAGCAAAUCCCAUAAAGUUGUUCUCAGUUCGGAUUGUAGUCUGCAACUCGACUACAUGAAGCUGGAAUCGCUAGUAAUCGUAGAUCAGCAUGCUACGGUGAAUACGUUCCCGGGUCU